GGGCUCAGAGGUGUUGGAUGGAGGGGAGCAUUCAUCAGGGCUCAGAGGUGUUGGAUGGAGGGGAGCAUUCAUCAGGGCUCAGAGGUGUUGGAUGGAGGGGAGCAUUCAUCAGGGCUCAGAGAUGUUAGAUGGAGGGGAGCAUUCAUCAGGGCUCAGGGAUGUUAGAUGGAGGGGAGCAUUCAUCAGGGCUCAGAGGUGUUGGAUGGAGGGGAGCAUUCAUCAGGGCUCAGAGGUGUUGGAUGGAGGGGAGCAUUCAUCAGGGCUCAGAGGUGUUGAACAGGAGAGAGCAUUCAUCAGGGCUCAGAGGUGUUGGAUGGAGGGGAGCAUUCAUCAGGGCUCAGAGGUGUUGGAUGGAGGGGAGCAUUCAUCAGGGCUCAGAGAUGUUAGAUGGAGGGGAGCAUUCAUCAGGGCUCAGGGAUGUUAGAUGGAGGGGAGCAUUCAUCAGGGCUCAGAGGUGUUGGAUGGAGGGGAGCAUUCAUCAGGGCUCAGAGGUGUUGGAUGGAGGGGAGCAUUCAUCAGGGCUCAGAGGUGUUGGAUGGAGGGGAGCAUUCAUCAGGGCUCAGAGGUGUUGGAUGGAGGGGAGCAUUCAUCAGGGCUCAGAGGUGUUGGAUGGAGGGGAGCAUUCAUCAGGGCUCAGAGGUGUUGGAUGGAGGGGAGCAUUCAUCAGGGC